CUUGUCGCGGUGCUUGGAUUGCAGCACGUGAGCCAGCUCGCGCAGGUGGCCCCGGUGUCGCUGCUCGUCGGGCCGCGCGGGGAAGGCGGCAGCCAGGAUCCGCUCCGUCACGAGAUAUGGCAACACUUGGAGAACCAAGAACUUCUUAACUACAGGGACACAUGUAUCCAGCAUCAGAUGAAAGAUUACAAAUGGCAAGAGAGAACACGCAUACCUAUCUGACUCCUUCCAGUGGUCUUUGUUCCCUCCGUCUCCUGGACCACGGCUGGAGUUCCCACUUUGGCCUUUUGGGACACUCACCCCAUCUACUUUGUUUUCAUCUGUUUGUGUGAAGAUGCAAAAAUAAAUUGAAGGCAAGUAAAAAAUUAA